rnacentral:rRNA from 1 species
AGCCGUGCGGGUGCUAUACAUGCAGUCGAGCGAAUGGAUUAAGAGCUUGGUCUUAUGAAGUUAGCGGGGGACGGGGGAGUAACACGUGGGUAACCUGUGCAUAUGACUGGGAUAACUCCGGGAAACCGGGGCUAAUACCGGAUAACAUUUUGAACCGCAUGGGUCGAAAUUGAAAGGGGGCUUCGGCUGUCACUUAUGGAUGGACCCGCGUCGCAUUAUCUAGUUGGUGAGGUAACGGCUCACCAAGGCAACGAUGCGUAGCCGACCUGAGAGGGUGAUCGGCCACACUGGGACUGAGACACGGCCCACACUCCUACGGGAGGCAGCAGUAGGGAAUCUUCCGCAAUGGACGAAAGUCUGACGGAGCAACGCCGCGUGAGUGAUGAAGGCUUUCGGGUCGUAAAACUCUGUUGUUAGGGAAGAACACGUGCUAGAUGAAUACUGUGGCUCCUUGACGGGACCUAACCAAAAAGCCCCGGGUAACUACGUGCCAGCAGCCGCGGUAAUACGUAGGGGGGAAGGGUUUUCCGGAAUUUUUGGGGGUAAAGGGCGCGCAGGGGGUUUCUUAAGUCUGAUGUGAAAGCCCUCGGCUCCACCGUGGAGGGUCAUUGGAAACUGGGAGACUUGAGUGCAAAAGAGGAAAGUGGAAUUCCAUGUGUAGCGGUGAAAUGCGUAGAGAUAUGGAGAAACACCAGUGGCGAAGGCGACUUUUCUGGUCUGUAACUGACACUGAGGCGCGAAAGCGUGGGGAGCAAACAGGAUUAGAUACCCUGGUAGUCCACGCCGUAAACGAUGAGUGCUAAGUGUUAGAGGGUUUCCGCCCUUUAGUGCUGAAGUUAACGCAUUAAGCACUCCGCCUGGGGGAGUACGGCCGCAAGGCUGAAACUCAAAGGAAUUGACGGGGGGCCCGCACAAGCGGGGGAGCAUGUGUUUUUAUUUCAAAGCACGCGAAGAACCUUACCAGGUCUUGACAUCUCUCUGACAGUCCUAGAAGAUAGGGCUCUCCUUCGGGAGCAUCAAUGACAGUGGUGCAUGGUUGUCCUCAGCUCGUGUCGUGAGAUGUGGAUUAGUCCCGCAACGAGCCGCAACCCUUGAUCUUAGUGCCAUCAUCAGUGGGCACUCUAAGGUGACUGCCGGGUGACAAACGGAGGAAGGGGGGGAUUG